ACUUUUUUCUCCUCCGUAAAAUAUUUAGAUUAUCAAUGAACGGCCGGUGGAUGAUGAUAAACUCACAUUUAUUCUUCCUUUUUGGGCCUAUAUAAACCCUUUCACUCUCUUCAUUUCUUCACACAUCUCAAAACUGUUCUUUGUUCCAUAUACAGGAAACAAGGGAUAACCUUCUCCCAUACUACCUAUAUCAUUCAUGAAAUGAGGGUAAAAAACUUCAUGUUCUUCAAGUUGGCAUCAAAUCUCAUCAUGUGGAGAUUAUUUAAGGAAUCUAUUUAGGGUGUGGAGACCAGACCUCCUAAGAUUUCAAGGGUAUGACGGCGGAAUUCGAAUCUGAAACAUCGAGAUCGUGUAGAUCUAAGAUCUGUCUAUGUAAUUGUUACUACUAGAUCAAACUUUUUCAGUUUUUUUAUGUUUAAUUUCAUGUUUAGGUGAUAGAAACUAUGGAUACUGUAAAUUUUUUAUGUUUAUAUUUUUUUUUUUGUAUUGAUGAUGGCAUGAAGAAAUUUAAACAAAAAAGAUCUAUAUGACAGAUGUUCAUCAAAUCAAGUUGGCAUUAUGAGACAGGAAGCAAGUGGGUAGGGUUUCUUUAAUUUUGUUGAGAACGAAAGUGAAAGAAAAUGGACAAAUAUUGUAGUGA